GAGUGUUACAGCGGACUGUUCUCUGGUUAUAAAGAAUGUCACAGUUGAGGAUGUUGGUCAUUACACCUGCAGACAGUACGACAGAUCAGGACAACAACAAGGCUCUCUGGUUGAUCUGUCUGUUGUUAGCAUGACUGAACAUAAGGACGCUGAUAAGGUGAAGUUAAGCUGCUCUGUGUCGAUAUAUGAUGGGUGCAGACACACAGUGCAGUGG